rnacentral:rRNA from 1 species
UACGGGGGGGGCGAGCGUUGUUCGGAAUUACUGGGCGUAAAGGGUUUGUAGGUGGUCUGCUAAGUCAGACGUGAAAUCCCUCAGCUUAACUGGGGAACUGCGUCUGAUACUGGCGGACUUGAGGACAGGAGAGGAACGCGGAAUUCCAGGUGUAGCGGUGAAAUGCGUAGAGAUCGGCAGGAACACCCGUGGCGCAAGCGGCCACCUAGCCCGCACCUGACGCUGAGGCGCGACAGCGUGGGGAGCGAACUGG